rnacentral:rRNA from 1 species
CAGUCGAGCGGAACGAGUUAUCUGAACCUUCGGGGGACGAUAACGGCGUCGAGCGGCGGACGGGUGAGUAAUGCCUAGGAAAUUGCCCUGAUGUGGGGGAUAACCAUUGGAAACGAUGGCUAAUACCGCAUGAUGCCUACGGGCCAAAGAGGGGGACCUUCGGGCCUCUCGCGUCAGGAUAUGCCUAGGUGGGAUUAGCUAGUUGGUGAGGUAAGGGCUCACCAAGGCGACGAUCCCUAGCUGGUCUGAGAGGAUGAUCAGCCACACUGGAACUGAGACACGGUCCAGACUCCUACGGGAGGCAGCAGUGGGGAAUAUUGCACAAUGGGCGCAAGCCUGAUGCAGCCAUGCCGCGUGUGUGAAGAAGGCCUUCGGGUUGUAAAGCACUUUCAGUCGUGAGGAAGGUAGUGUAGUUAAUAGCUGUAUCAUUUGACGUUAGCGACAGAAGAAGCACCGGCUAACUCCGUGCCAGC